CUCUCUCUCUUUCUCCUAAUUUACGUUUCACUCACCAUAUAAAUUUGGGAAACUUCAAAAACCCCUUUUAUAAUUUCUUAGUUUCUCACUUUGCCACUUUGUAAUUUAAAAUGUAUCAAUUUGCUUCCCUAUGAUUUCUUUUUUUUCUUUUCCUUAUCAAUUUUAUUAUUAUUUUUUCUUAAAUCAGUAAUAAAGUUAAAAUUAAAGGGUGCUAAAGUGAAUAUUUGAUAAAUCUAGAUAUGUAUCUAAAGUUUUUUGUAUAUAGUUUAAUAAAAUAUUAACGAAAAAGCUACCGAAAAGAUAAAAACGAAACCACAGGGGAACAAUUUGAUACAUUUUAAACCACAGGGGGACAAAGUGAGAAACUAUGAAACCACCGGGGGGGUUUUUAAAGUUUUCCCUAUAAAUUUUGAGCAAGGCUAGU
rnacentral:lncRNA from 1 species